UACGUAGGGUGCAAGCGUUAAUCGGAAUUACUGGGCGUAAAGCGUGCGCAGGCGGUUUUGUAAGUCUGUUGUGAAAGCCCCGGGCUCAACCUGGGAAUGGCAAUGGAUACUGGCAGGCUAGAGUGCGGUAGAGGGUAGUGGAAUUCCCGGUGUAGCGGUGAAAUGCGUAGAGAUCGGGAGGAACACCAGUGGCGAAGGCGGCUACCUGGACCAGCACUGACACUGAGGCACGAAAGCGUGGGGAGCAAACAGG
rnacentral:rRNA from 1 species